rnacentral:lncRNA from 1 species
AUAAAUUUAAUUUUAAGGAUAUUAUUGACCAUAAACAUAAAAAUAAAAGUGUAAAAUGGAAAAUUAAAUAUAUGAGGAUAAAUGAAGGUAUAUUGGACUUAAAGAUAAAUAUGUAAGGGUACGAUUGGUAAUCAAAAGUUUCUCCUCAAUCCCCACUUUUAAUAUAUUGUAGAUAUAUUAGAGAAUUGGUUCUUAAAUUAAAAGAAGGUAAAAUGUUUAGGGAUCCUUGUCAUUUUUCUUCCUUUAAAAGCUCAAAAUCGAGCUGGUUGAUUGUAAAUUAGAUUCUUAAAUGUUAAAGGGUUCUUCGUUUGAGAAUUGAGACACCCCAAUCUACCCAAAUUUGUAGACAGAGUUUUCCCAAGUUCAGCAAAGACAACAUCAAGCAGCCUACUGCAGCUCAUUACCAUGAAAUGUGUCCUACUAACCAUUAGAAGUUAACGCCCUUCAAUACUAGACCCACUUCAACUAUUUUAAAAUAUCAAAUUUAUGCUGUCUGUUGGCCUUGUAAGAGCAUCAUGACACAAUAAAUAAUGGCAUGUUUAUCACAAAAUGCUAAAAAGAAUGAGGUCCCAAACCACAUUCCAUGUGCACCAACUGCUCUACCGAAAAGGGCAUUGAGUUGUGCUUGCUGUCUAUACAAAAUCAAAUCAAAACUGUGAAAAAAACAACAAAAUGAGCAAGUCUGUCUUUUGUUUACAUUAUCCCUGAUCAUAUCCAGUAAAUGUCACCCUUAGUAAUUUUAAUAUUCGGAAACUUGUCCCAGUCCAAAUCAGAUUUUUAAUCUCCUAAAGCUGAAUUUGAAUAAAAAAUUAUGAAUCUUCCAGCCUCAUUCAAAAUUUACAAUCAACGUAAUAUAAAUACACAAUCAUAGAAAUAGGGCUAAGAAAAUGCCAUCACAAGUCAUUUCGAGAACCAAUGCAAAUGAUUGAAAAACGAGUAAAAGAAGCCGACUAUAUGUAUAAGAGAAGCGGUGAUACCGAAUAAGGAGAGAUAUUAGCCGAUGGCUUGUGUCAAACACUGGACCAGGUAAUUGUGGUAUGAUUAGAUGUAGCAGCAGCGGCUUGAAGAAGAAGAUGUGGAGAAGGGUUGAAUUCUAG